rnacentral:misc_RNA from 1 species
GAUGAAGAACGGAGCAAAAUGCGAUAAGUAAUGUGAAUUGCAGAAUUCAGUGAAUCAUCGAAUCUUUGAACGCACAUUGCGCCCGCUGGUAUUCCGGCGGGCAUGCCUGUUCGAGCGUCAUUUCAACCCUCAAGCCCCCGGGCUUGGUGUUGGGGAUCGGCUCUGCCCUUCUGGGCGGUGCCGCCCCCGAAAUACAUUGGCGGUCUCGCUGCAGCCUCCAUUGCGUAGUAGCUAACACCUCGCAACUGGAACGCGGCGCGGCCAUGCCGUAAAACCCCAACUUCUGAAUGUUGACCUCGGAUCAGGUAGGAAUACCCGCUGAACUUAAGCAUAUCAAUAAGCGGAGGA